GAGACUCCGUCUCAAAAAAAAGAAUUAGGGGGUGAGAUAGAUGACAGAUGUGGUUAAUUGCAUUAUUCUUCCUGAUUUUUCACGCCUUCCUGUAUGCUUGUCUUAAGAUCUAGCACUUCUGUUCUCUGGGGUUGGAGGAUAUUGUCUUACUGUGUCUCUGUUGGACAUGGCCUUGUGAUUUGCCUCAGCCUUUGACCUUUGAGAUGUAGGUGGAAGCAACAAAGUGACAGUUCCAAGUCCCGACCAUAAGAAGCAUUGUGUAUUUCCAUUUGUGCUUCCAACCGUUCCCAUGACAAGAGCAUACCCUUGGAUAUAGCUGCUACUCUUUCGUCUUGGACCCCAGAAUGAACGUGUGGAUCUCCAGCCUCCCCACUAACCUGUGGGCCUGAGAACAAGAGCUCCCUGUUGCACUGCUGACUGAUACACAUAGUGCAAGCACAGCUGGCCCUCCAUACAGCUUGGGAAGAUGGAUCAAUAUGGCCUGUAGAGUAAGAAGACCUAUAUCCAGAUCUGCAUUUUACUGUUUUCUCUGGGGGGAUUGGAGAUAAUGCUGCAGAAAAGCCAAGUACACUCCCAAGGAUAGGAUUUGGCAGGAGCAGCUGCGACAGUGAGCUGGUGGAUCCCUGGCCAGGAGGGAGCACAAUGAUAAAAGAUUCAGGACUGUCAGAAAUGCUGGAUGCUGUAGAAAAGGAUUGGAUGAUGCCUUCUCACUGGCCCCAGGGCUCUUGGAAUUUGUUCUAGAGAAGCACAAAAAGAAGGGAGCAGGUGCUGGGAGCCACAUCUCAAGUUGAAAAGCAUACAGAACAAUUAUUUACUGAGAACUUGUGAAUGCCAAGAGCUGAUCAUGUGUGGCUGGAAUGAUGCUGGUGCUGUGUUCGUAGGUUUGCUUUGUCUCCAGCACCCCACUGGUCAAUAGGAACAAGGGAGCAAUUUUCAGAGUUAUUAGCUGUGUUUGAGCUGUGCUGUCUGCCAAAAGAAGAAGUGGCUUUUGGACGCAGAUUUUACCUCGGAUGUAAUGUGGAGAGACACGUUGACACCUCCCUCUGAUAAAGGUGCUUCCCAUUUCUACAGCCGGUUUACUGCGGUCUCCUCAUGAACAUGUUGUCAUCACGCCCAGUGUAACUGCUCCCUCCCUGCAGGAGUUUACUCUGCUACAUGGAUAAGCUAACAAAGGCUCAUCUGGAACUACAGGGUUACAUCUCUAGUGUCAUUGUAUGACACAGUGACUCAGAGAUGAUUUCCUCUUCAGAAAACAGAAGAAUUUUCUGACACAUUUAUCCAGAUUGGAUGAUAUGGAGAUGAACACCAGGACUAUUUUAGAAACUGCAUGUUGAAGACCACUGAGAUAUAAAACUUAGAAAAAAAAAGGUUCUGAAUCAAUGCCUUGUGAAGACAGUUGCACAGGGUACCACCAGGCUGAAAUCCAGGUGUUCACCAGGACUUUUCUUCACCUGGAGGCCCAGCUGGAGAAGAAUCUGCUUCCAAGCUCCAUCAGACUGUUAGAAAAUUAACUUCCUGUGGCUAUAGGAUUCAUGGCACGUUGCUUCUUCAAAGCCAGCAAUGGAAAGAGUCUUCUGCUCCAAGAAUGACAUGUAGUCACUCAGAAAGGGAUCAUAUGACUAGGUAAUGUCCACCCAGAAUAAUAUCGCUUUUGAUUAAGUUAAAGUCAAUCGAUUAGAGGCUUGAAUUGCAUCUGAAAAAUGUAUUUUCUUUACCGUACAACAUAAAUUAGAGUUCAGUAUGGAUUAGCAAGAGGAAUCUGCAUUUUCAAAGAUGUUUGGAAACCAGUCUUUCUCUAUCUUUGUCUCCACCUACAUUUAAGUUCUUUGAAGUCUUUCCACACAGCUACAAAUAGAAAAAGAGAAUUACAAAUUAUCUAUGGGAGAUUUGUUAUUUAAUGGGUCAGUUCUAAGCAUUAAGCAAGUUAAUCCUACUCACAUUUCACUGGCUGGAUGUCACCUCUGUGUAGUUGCAGGGAAGUUGUAAAAUGUAGUCUAGCUGUGUGCCCAAAAAGAGAAAAAGGUGGACAGUGUUCUCAGUUCUCAGUCCACCCUUCUGAUCACUGCCAAAGCAUCUGUUUCCCUUGUCUCGCCCACAGCAAAACUCUCAUACCUUUCCCAAGAGAAUCAAGCUGGAUAUUUCACAUCCCAAUGCAUCCUGUUCAAAAUCUAAUAUGGAGCAUCUCCAAGAGGUGCUCAGCUUUUCCAUCAGAUCUGGAUAGGUCUUCCUAUCAUUCAAUAAUUUAUUUUAAAGAAAAAGAAAUUGUCUAUCCUCCAAUCUUCCUCAAUUUUGAAGAAAUUCUAAAUCAGAAAGUGAAUGAAUGAGAAACCACAGAAGAAACUGGUCUGCAGCAAUUUGGAUGUCCCACUGAACAGGCUUUAUGAAGGUCAUCCACCCUGAGAAAGCAGGUGCAUUUCCUAAUUAAAUCCUGUUUCUGCUCUUUGGAAGAAACAUCGUUGUCCCUUGUUCUUUAUGGAUAUUUGCUCUAUCCUCUGGGAGUAUUUUCUUGUCCAUUUUCCAGGGUGCAUAUUUCAGAUCUGACAGGUUUCUGUAAAUCUGUAAAGUCCAUUUCUGCUGGUAUACAUAUGGAGUCUUGAAGGCUAUUUUAUUUUUAUUUUUGAGAUGGAGUCUUGCUCUGUCACUCAGGCUGGAGUGCAGUGGCAUGAUCUUGGCUCACUGCAACCUCCGCCUCCAAGAUUCAAAUGAUUCUCUUGCCUCAGCCUCCCAAGUAGCUGGGAUUACAGGCAUCCACCACCAUGCCAAGCUAAUUUUUGUAAUUUUAGUAGAGACAGAGUUUCUCCAUGUUGGCCAGGCUGGUCUCAAACUCCUGGCCUCAGGUGAUCCACCCACUUGGACUCCCAAGGCGCUGGGAUUACAGGUAGGAGCCACUACUCCUGGCCUUGAGAGCUGUUUUAAAUAUCAAAAAUGAUGGUUUCCAGUUUCAUCCAUGUCGCUGCAAAGGACGUAAACUCAUCCUUUAUUAUAGCUGCAUAGUAUUCCAUGAUGUAUAUGUGCCACAUUUUCUUUAUCCAGUCUAUCAUUGAUGGGCAUUUGGGUUGGUUCCAAGUCUGGAAACCUCAUUCUCAGCAAGCUAACACAGGAACAGAAAACCAAACACUGAAUGCUCUCACUCAUAAGUAGAAGUUGAACAAUGAGGACACAUGGACACAGGGCAGGGAACAUCACACACCAGGGCCUGUCGGGGUGUGGUAGGUUAGGGAAGGGAUAGCACUGGGAGAUGAUGGGUUGAUGGGUGCAGCAAACCACCAUGGCUCGCGUAUACCUAUGUAACUAACCUGCACGUUCUGCACAUGUAUCCCAGAACUUAAAGUAUAAUAAAUAAGCAAACAUCAAAGAAUCAAGGGCUGUUUGGUAGUAUUUUUACAAUAUGAUUUAUCCCCAAAGUAAGAGGGUUAUAAUCUACUUGUUCCUUCCUUCCCCAUGCCUCUUACUUUCCACUUAAUGGGUUGACAUUCUGAGGCACAUUGCAUAAGCCUUCUCAGAAGGUCUUGUUUUGAUUGGCACCUGUCACACACAGCAGUGGCCUCUGUCAUUAUAUAUCUUAGGUUGGAACUUUCUGCUUGCCUGCAUUGUUUUCCUAGUCUUUCAUUCUUACUCAAAUAAGACACCCAAACAUAAAACUGUCUCAGGCUCUGCUUUCAAGACAACUAAGCUGAGACACUACUUUUUGCAAAAAUGCUAAAUCUUCAAGGAUCUUUGUCAAUCCAAGGCUUUUUCAAUCUUACUUCCUAUUUUGAGGUCUCAGAAGUGGUGAUUUUACCAACCCUUUAAGGUCCCAAAUGUCUGAACUGCCGCUUGUCUCUUUCUUUUUCUACUUAUAAAGUAGCCAGUUAUUGACUAACAUCAUCAUUUUCUUUUAAUACUUUCCUAAGAUCAGCCAAUAUAAAGCAACACACAUCGUCACCCCAACUCCUCCUGGUCACUCCUUUAGAGCUAUAUUCUCAGUCAACUCAUGUAGUGCUCCCAAAUUAAGUCAAGCAACAGUUUUAAUUGAAACUUUUAUUAAGAUAAUUGUAAAUUCACAUACAAUUACAAUAAAUACUACAUAGAUAUAAUUUCUAUGCUUCUCUCAGUUUCCUCCAAUAGCAAUAUUUUGCAAAACUAUAUUAAAUAUUGCAACAAGGACUUUGAGAUUUAUACAGUCCACUGAUUCAAAUCGCCCCAGUUUUACUCUAUGCAUAUAUGUGUAUAUCAAGUUCUCUAUAAUUUUAUCACUCUUGUAGGCUCAUGUAUCUACCACCACAGUCAAGAUACUAAGAAGUCCCAACACCGCAAAGAUCCUUAUUUUGCCUUUUUACAGCUAUCCCCAUAAUUAUACUUUUUCCACCCUGCCCAGCUCUGUCACUAACUCCUAACCACUAAUCUGUUCUCCAUUUUUAACAUUUUAUCAUUUCAAAAUGCUGUAUACAUUUAAUAAUACAGAAUUUAACCUUUAGGAAUUUACUCUUCAUGGAGCAUAAUUCUCUGCAGAUUCACCCAAGUUGUUGUUUAUUCAUCCUUAUUGCUGCAUAGUAUUCCAUGCUACCUACGUACUAGAGAUUGUUAACCAUUCCACUGUUGAGGGACAUUCAGACUCAUUCAUAUUUCUGGCUAUUACAAAUAAGGCUAAUAUGAAUACUCAUGUACAGGUUUUUGUAUGAAAAUAAGUUUUCAUUCCUUUGGGAGAAAUGCCCAAGUAUGUAACUGUCUGGUCAUAUGGUAAAUUUAUGUGUAGUUUUAUAUGGAACUGUCAAACUGUUUUUCAGUGGGUAUAUUAAUAAACAUUCCCA
rnacentral:lncRNA from 10 species